rnacentral:rRNA from 1 species
GUCUAUGGCCAUGCUACUCUGAACGAGCCCAACCCAUCUGAUCUGGGAAGCUAAGCAGGGUCAGCCUGGUUAGUACUUGUAUAAGAUACCACCUAGGAAGACCAGGAGCUGUAGGCA